CCACAAUGAACCAAUGUAACUUCUUGUGCCAAGGAGCCAGAUGGUACCGCUGGAAAAAAUUAAGUCUACAGAUUGGCAGCUCGACCCUAUGGCAUCACUUGCUCAAGAGAAGAAUCUAAGGAUCACGACGCACACAGUCAUGACGUCUAUCAAGGCUUGCUUUCUAUUGCUGGGAUAAAAGGCCAUGGCCAAAAUCAGCCUGAGUGUCAAGUUGACAGGAAGGAAGGAAGGAAGGAAGGAAGGAAGGAAGGAAGGAAGGAAGGAAGGAGCACAAAGUCUAUCACUCAUCCUUCCCCAUGUCUGUCGAGGCUCUCAAUGCCCUUGGCUCUGCCCACCACGUUGAACAAUGAUCUUCAGCUGGGCCUUUCUCAGGCCUUUGCCUCUGAGAAGUGCACCAAGCCCCCAUGGCCCGUCUUCCUUCUCCACUUCCAGCUGUUCUGACACAACAAAUUAAAUUCUGUGUUUAUUCGUGUG